GAUGAACGCUGGCGGCGUGCCUAACACAUGCAAGUCGAACGGAGUUUAACGCUGAUGAAGCUUCGGCAGAUUCUUGUUAAACUUAGUGGCGGACGGGUGAGUAACGCGUGGGUAACCUGCCUCAUACAGGGGGAUAGCAGUUGGAAACGACUGAUAACACCGCAUAAGCGCACAGGAUCGCAUGAUCUAGUGUGAAAAUAUUUAUAGGUAUGAGAUGGACCCGCGUCUGAUUAGCUAGUUGGUGAGGUAACGGCCCACCAAGGCGACGAUCAGUAGCCGGCCUGAGAGGGCGGACGGCCACAUUGGGACUGAGACACGGCCCAAACUCCUACGGGAGGCAGCAGUGGGGGAUAUUGCACAAUGGGCGAAAGCCUGAUGCAGCGACGCCGCGUGAGUNAAGAAAGUAUUUCGGUAUGUAAAGCUUCUAUCAGCAGGGAAAGGAAAGGACCUUCG
rnacentral:rRNA from 1 species